rnacentral:rRNA from 1 species
UACGUAGGGCGCAAGCGUUGUCCGGAAUUAUUGGGCGUAAAGAGCUCGUAGGCGGCCAGUUGCGUCUGCUGUGAAAUCCCGGGGCUCAACCCUGGGCGUGCAGUGGAUACGGGCAGGCUGGAGGCAGGCAGGGGAGAACGGAAUUCCCGGUGUAGCGGUGAAAUGCGCAGAUAUCGGGAGGAACACCGGUGGCGAAGGCGGUUCUCUGGGCCUGUACUGACGCUGAGGAGCGAAAGCGUGGGGAGCGAACAGG